AUUGAACGCUGGGGGCAGGCUUAACACAUGCAAGUCGAGCGAGCGGCGGACGGGUGAGUAAUGUCUGGGAAACUGCCUGAUGGAGGGGGAUAACUACUGGAAACGGUAGCUAAUACCGCAUACCAUCAGAUGUGCCCAGAGUGGAUUAGCUAGUAGGUGGGGUAAUGGCGCACCUAGGCGACGAUCCCUAGCUGGUCUGAGAGGAUGACCAGCCACACUGGAACUGAGACACGGUCCAGACUCCUAAGGGAGGCAGCAGUGGGGAAUACUGCACAAUGGGCGAAAGCCGGAUGCAGCCAUGCCGCGUGUGUGAAGAAGGCCUUCGGGUUGUAAAGCACUUUAAGCGAGGAGGCGGUACUCGCAGAAGAAGCACCGGCUAACUCCGUGCCAGCAGCCGCGGUAAUAC
rnacentral:rRNA from 1 species